rnacentral:rRNA from 1 species
UACGUAUGGGGCGAGCGUUGUCCGGAAUUAUUGGGCGUAAAGGGUACGUAGGCGGUUAGAUAAGUCAGAUGUAAAAGCGUGGGGCUCAACCCCAUAAAGCAUUUGAAACUGUCUAACUUGAGUAGUGGAGAGGAAAGUGGAAUUCCUAGUGUAGCGGUGAAAUGCGUAGAUAUUAGGAGGAAUACCAGUGGCGAAGGCGACUUUCUGGACACAAACUGACGCUGAGGUACGAAAGCAUGGGGAGCAAACAGGAUUAGAUACCCUGGUAGUCCCUGAG